rnacentral:rRNA from 1 species
AACGAGUGGGACGAGUGUUAUUCGGCGUGACUGGGCGUAAAGGGCAGGUAGGUGACUAACCCAAACAUGACACAAAAAGCCUGUAGUGUAUUCUAUAGUGAGUUACAUGUAAGAGUUAGUUUUAGUUAAUGCUUAUGAUGAAGGAAUCCUUUUUGUAGGGCUAAAAUCCGUACAUAUUUUACAAAAAAAGGAGAACGCCGUAUUGGUGAAGGCGCUCAUCUAAAGUUAACAAAAGCUCAGCUGCGAAAGCGUGGGGAGCGAAUAGG